rnacentral:rRNA from 1 species
UACGAAAGGGGCUAGCGUUGUUCGGAAUCACUGGGCGUAAAGCGCACGUAGGCGGAUUUUUAAGUCGGGGGUGAAAUCCCGAGGCUCAACGUCGGAACUGCCUUUGAUACUGGCGAUCUAGAGUCCGGGAGAGGUGAGUGGAACUGCGAGUGUAGAGGUGAAAUUCGUAGAUAUUCGCAAGAACACCAGUGGCGAAGGCGGCUCACUGGCCCGGAACUGACGCUGAGGUGCGAAAGAGUGGGGAGCAAACAGG